UCGGGAAUAUUGCGCAAUGGAGGAAACUCUGACGCAGUGACGCCGCGUAUGGGAAGAAGGUUUUCGGAUUGUAAACCAUUUUAGACAAGGAAGAAAAAAGACAGUACUUGUAGUAAUAAGACUACCGGCUCAAGCUACGUGCCAGCAGCCGCGGGUAAUACGUAGGGAGCAAGCGUUAUCCGGAUUUAUUGGGUGUAAAGGGUGCGUAGACGGGAAGGUAAGUUAGUUGUGAAAUCCCUCGGCUCAACUGAGGAACUGCGACUAAACUGCUUUUCUUGAGUACUGGAGAGGAAAGUGGAAUUCCUAGUGUAGCGGUGAAAUGCGUAGAUAUUAGGAGGAACACCAGUGGCGAAGGCGACUUUCUGGACAGUAACUGACGUUGAGGCACGAAAGUGUGGGGAGCAAACAGGAUUAGAUACCC
rnacentral:rRNA from 1 species